GAAAGCUCCAUGGAAGAUAAAGGCAGAGAUUUACAAGCCAAGGAAUGUCAAAGACGGCCAGCACACCACCAGAAGCUAGCAGAGAGGUAUGGAACAGAUUCUUCUUCACAACCUCAGAGGGAAAACCCUGCUGAUACCUGGAUUUCAAACUCCUGGCCUCCAGAACGACAAAGUCUUGCUUGCUCUGUCGCUCAGGAUGGAGUGUAGUGGUAUGAUCUUAGCUCACUACAACCUCUGCCUCCCAGGUUCAAGUGAUUCUCCUGCCUUACGCUCCCAAGUAACUGGGACUACAGGCACACACCACCACACCCAGCUAAUUUUUGUAUUUUUUGUAGAGACGGGGUUUUACCACGUUAGCCGGGCUGGUCUUGAACUCCUGACCUCAGGUGAUCCACCCGCCUCGAUCGCCCAUUAUUAACAAUCAAAUGGCUGUUCUUCAUGGUACUGGUACAAAAACAGAUAUAUACACCAAUGGAACAGAACAGAGGCCUCAGAAACAACACCACACAUCUACAACCAUCUGAUCUUUGACAAACCUGACAAAAACAAGCAAUGAAGAAAGGAUUCCCUAUUUAAUAAAUGGUGUUGGGAAAACUGGCUAGCCAUAUGCAGAAAACUGAAACUGGACCCCUUCCUUACACCUUAUACAAAAAUUAACUCAAGAUGGACUAAAGAUUUAAACAUAAGACCUAAAACAAUAAAAACCCUAGAAGAAAACCUAGGCAUUACCAUUCAGGACAUAGACAUGGGCAAAGACUUAAUGACUAAAACACCAAAAGCAAUGGCAACAAAAGCCAAAACUGACAAAUGAGAUCUAAUUAAACUAAAGAGCUCCUGCAUAGCAAAAGAAACUAUCAUCAGAGUGAACAGGCAACCUACAGAAUGGAAGAAAAUUUUUGCAAUCUAUCCAUCUAACAAAGGGCUAAUAUCCAGAAUCUACAAGGAACUUAAACAAAU
rnacentral:lncRNA from 10 species